CACCCCACACCUCGCCCCACCUCUUUCCCAGAUCCUCCCCGCCAGCCACCACCCUCGACCUGUGCCUCCGUCGCCGGACCGCCGCGCCCCCGCUCCAGGCGCUCGGGCCGCCCCGUCCACGCGCUGCCCGGGCCGCCGCGCCCUCCCUGCCUUUCCUCACGCUUCCUCCCCCCGCCGCCGCCGCUCCCUCUUCCGCGGGUCGCCGUGCUCCCUCUCUGUAGCCACGGCCACUCGCUCCACCAGACGCUCGAUGCCCAUGUGGCGCUGCUGUCGCACGCAGCGACAAAGGGUUCCACGGCGGAGACAUGGAAGAAGGAUGACGGGGGUGGGGCCAUUGCCAUAGAUGAGCGCAGCCCCGAGCAGAUCCGAUUAGGAUCCUUCUCUCCAUCUCACUCUCUUUGUGCCUUCUCCCCUCUCUGCUCUCCCGUCUCUCUCAAUCUGCAGCAAGGUGUCGCGGGCUCGCGGCUGUGACGCCGGCGGCGGUAGAAACCACCACACCCUCUGCAUCCAAUUUCUCUUUCUAACGUCUCUGUGCAUCAGCAGGUUUUAGUAGACGAUCCAGAUUGAGAAGGUCACAUGAGUUUGCCAGCAGCACCCAUCUGUGUAUGCUCAAUUACCUAUCAGUAAAGAUAUACAUAUCAUUUGGUGGAAUAUCUGAGGAGCAAUCGUAUCACAAGGAUGCACAUGCAGAACAAGCCCGGUUGUCAAAGGUUCAAAUACUGUGUACUUAAUGAGUUGUAUUUUGUGAAUCCUUAUUACUGUGUUUCAUGAAUCUAGACAAUGGUAAUACUAAUCCAGACUUUGUCGGUAUGGAUGAUGUUGUAGCCGCAAUUGAGCCUCCACCUCCUAUGUUUUUUGAAGGGCUUGGGAAUGACACUAAUAAAGUGGAUGGGCAAGCUCAAACCAACGAGGUUACGAUGUGAUUAAUUUCUUAGAAGUUCAUAUAUGUUCUGCUUCGUGUCAUCUUUAGUGCUUCAAGGGCAAACGGCUAGAUUCAAUUUGGAGCAUCGCGGGAAGGAGCAGGCAGCAGCGGCAAUACACUGAGGGUGGAGCAGCAGAGUCACCUGAUCUACCAGUAUGUCUGAUUGAUGCUGCCCACUGCUCCAUCAGCUUGCAUCCAGCAUCUCUAAAUUAGCAUUAUGUCAGGUUCUCGAUAUAUUUGCAAUGGAUUAAACAAUGGGCCUCUCUUGAUUCACACAUGUUCACAUUUCAAGCUAUUUGAUGGUAAAUCUUGAAUUUUAUUUUCUUAUAUUUUUUUAGCGGAUUAAUUAGAACUGAUUUGGUUUCUGAUUUGUUUGGGCGAGUGCAACAGCUUGCGAAGCUUUACCACUAAUCCACAGUCACUAUGUAACAAUUAAAAGGUGACUGAUAGCUCCAAUAGAUGCAUAUUUAAUAUUUAUUUCUGCACAUCAUUUAGACAGGUGGUUCCAUUUGAUACAUUUAGGAAAAGUACGGUCUUUUCCGACUUUAGUUAAUAUCUAUAUUGUUUCUUUGCUAUAAUAGGCAGGUCUGGAAACACAUGCUAAUAUAAGGCUUGAAUUGCACAUGUAUUGUCUUAUUAAUCAUGCACAUUUUGGAGCAUGAUUAUUUUCAAAUGGUUUGUCUAACAAUACUGAGGAGACCUGCAUGUCUGUCAACAUUCUUAAUAUGGAACCAUUAGAUGAUGGAUGACCAUUUUUUGCAAUAUCCGACUGACUAAUUGUACAAUUGAUAAGACAAGGGUUCGACUUACUUCCCUCUGCAAACAUCUUCUUUGCUCAAGUAAUUCAAGGUAUGUUUCAUUGCUCAUUUAGGAUGGCUGCUGAACCUCUUUGUGAACCAAGGAAGAAGUUCUCUAUACAAAAAUAACUUAGUUCUACAUUGAAAUUUUCACAUAUGGAUAAUUCAGUAACAAAAAAAUUUGAUUAAUCGAGUUGGGAGAUGUCACACAACACCAUUUGCUCAUAAUUGUUAUCUAUUUGAUCCUCGUGGCAGUCCUAUAUGUCAUGAAUAAUUGAGUCAUAUGUUGAUGCAUAUAUAGUUUGACUGUGCACUUGCACGUGUGCAACGUUCCAAAAGGAUAAUUCAUAACCUAGCAAUUUUAGAUAUCUAUGAACUUCAGUAUGUGCCAUCACGGUCUCAACAGGAUAUGGUACUCUGUUUUGAUUUUUUAUCAAAACCUAAUUAUCAAUUUAUAUAUGUGCGUACAAUCUUUAACCAUUAUAGCUGACGAUCUUUAACGUGUUUCAUCAUCUGUAGGCUGUGCAAUGUGAGAUAAUCAUGUAUGGUGUUACCGAAUGGGCUGGAAAGUUUCUAAAUUAUGAGCUCUGCAUGAUUAAGCGGCGUCGGGACCUGUACUUCAUUUAAUGCAGAGCAAGAAAGGAACAUCAAAGAAGCUGUUAAAAUGGAUGGGAGAAUUUGCUAAAACAUGUUUACCUAUUUUUUUAAAGAUUAAGUGUAUUCUAGAAAGAAAAUAAUUGUAUGUUUCAUGGAGUAACAAAUCAGGAACUGUGCAGGUAUGUGUUCAUCUUGAUGGGAGUUUGUCCGAGAUGCUGGGCGAGGGGAUUGUUUCCGCACUGCAUGUAUCCAAGUGUUUAGGGAUGCCUUUUGCGAACAAAUUUAGUUUUUUUUUGAGCGAGGAAAUUGAUACUUUUUUUGUGAAUGUAUUCGAGUGGGUGAAAUACUCCCCAUUUGUCUCGAGAGGUCCAGGUGUGGAAGCUUAGCACUGGGUUUGUCAUUAUUGAGGCAAGAAUAGUUUGAAUAUGCACACUUUCAUUAUGUA